ACCCUCAAUGUUCUUGUAUGCAUGUGGGUGUUUUUCAGAUGCAGUCUGUUUUCACAUAGCCAUGUGAGGCCUAGGAUUUGACCUGUUGGUGCAAGAAGCUUGAGCAUCACAUGGACUGAUCACCAAACUGGAGCAGUUUAGGUCUCCAGUGCAGGCUUUUUCCUGGAUUACAGACAACUAGACAACCUGAAGCUCACCAAGAAACCCACCAGGACAAGAGGCCAACUUCAGUUUUUGGACCAGGCCAGAACAAUAAGACUUUACAAGAUGUUCAUCAGGAUAAUUAGAGACUUUGUGGUCCACACCAGACAACAAAGACAAGGCCAAUCAGAGGACCGAUCGCCAUCGAGAAUUGAUCGUCAGGAUUAUUAGUGCCAUCACCACCGUCGAAGAGUUGGACAAAAUCACCAUCCAUGGAGUGGUCAUCACCAGAUCAUCACCACUGCAGUCAUCCUCAUCAUGUUUUGUACAUUUUGUAAAUAAUGUUUAUUACAGCUUUAUAAAUAUUUAUCAGUAAAUCAUUUUCUUUCAU